GACGAACGCUGGCGGCGUGCUUAACACAUGCAAGUCGAACGGAAAGGCCCUGCUUUUGUUGGGUGCUCGAGUGGCGAACGGGUGAGUAACACGUGAGUAACCUGCCCUUGACUUUGUGAUAACUUCAGGAAACUGGGGCUAAUACCGGAUAGGAGCUCCUGCUGCAUGUGGGGGGUUGGAAAGUUUCGGCGGUUGUGGAUGGACUCGCGGCUUAUCAGCUUGUUGGUGUGGUAGUGGCUUACCAAGGCUUUGACGGGUAGCCGGCCUGAGAGGGUUACCGGCCACAUUGGGACUGAGAUACGGACCAGACUCGUACGGGAGGCAGCAGUGGGGAAUAUUGCACAAUGGGCGGAAGCCUGAUGCAGCAACGCCGCGUGCGGGAUGACGGCCUUCGGGUUGUAAACCGCUUUCGCCUGUGACGAAGCGUGAGUGACGGUAAUGGGUAAAGAAGCAACGGCUAACUACGUG
rnacentral:rRNA from 1 species